GAUGAAGAACGCAGCGAAAUGCGAUACGUAAUGUGAAUUGCAGAAUUCAGUGAAUCAUCGAGUCUUUGAACGCACAUUGCGCCCUCUGGUAUUCCGGGGGGCAUGCCUGUCCGAGCGUCAUUGCUGCCCUCAAGCACGGCUUGUGUGUUGGGCCUCCGUCCUCCUCCCGGGGGACGGGCCCGAAAGGCAGCGGCGGCACCGCGUCCGGUCCUCGAGCGUAUGGGGCUUCGUCACCCGCUCUUGUAGGCCCGGCCGGCGCUUGCCGACACAUCAAUCUUUUUUCCAGGUUGACCUCGGAUCAGGUAGGGAUACCCGCUGAACUUAAGCAUAUCAAUAAGGGAGGA
rnacentral:misc_RNA from 1 species